rnacentral:rRNA from 1 species
CCUACGGGGUGCAGCAGUGAGGAAUAUUGGUCAAUGGACGAGAGUCUGAACCAGCCAAGUAGCGUGAAGGAUGACUGCCCUAUGGGUUGUAAACUUCUUUUAUAUGGGAAUAAAAUGUUCCACGUGUGGGAUUUUGUAUGUACCAUAUGAAUAAGGAUCGGCUAACUCCGUGCCAGCAGCCGCGGUAAUACGGAGGAUCCGAGCGUUAUCCGGAUUUAUUGGGUUUAAAGGGAGCGUAGGUGGAUUGUUAAGUCAGGUGUGAAAGUUUGCGGCUCAACCGUAAAAUUGCAGUUGAAACUGGCAGUCUUGAGUACAGUAGAGGUGGGCGGAAUUCGUGGUGUAGCGGUGAAAUGCUUAGAUAUCACGAAGAACUCCGAUUGCGAAGGCAGUUCACUGGACUGCAACUGACACUGAGGCUCGAAAGUGUGGGUAUCAAACAGGAUUAGAUACCCCUGUAGUC